GGGAAUGUAGUUAAUAUAUAACAUAAUAUUUGCAAAAUUAAAUUGUUUAAUUUUUUAUUAAACCAAUCUCA
rnacentral:tRNA from 1 species